UACGUAGGGAGCAAGCGUUGUCCGGAAUCAUUGGGCGUAAAGCGCGCGUAGGCGGCCUCGUAAGUCCGUUGUGAAAGUCAAAGGCUCAACCUUUGAAAGCCGAUGGAUACUGUGAGGCUAGAGUCCGGAAGAGGCGAGUGGAAUUCCUGGUGUAGCGGUGGAAUGCGCAGAUAUCAGGAGGAACACCAAUUGCGAAGGCAGCUCGCUGGGACGUUACUGACGCUGAGACGCGAAAGCGUGGGGAGCAAACAGG
rnacentral:rRNA from 1 species